rnacentral:lncRNA from 1 species
ACAUAAACCUGAAUUGUCUUCAAAACCUCCCCCUUCUCCAAAAACUCUCAUGAAGGCUCAUAGUUCCACACAGCCGCCUGAGUUUGACAGUGGAGUCGAGACUUUCUCUGUUCACACAGAUAAGCCUAAAUAUCAAAUAAAUAAUAUCAGCACCAUGCCUAAAGCUGUUCCUGUGAGUCCUUCAGCUGUGGAAGAAGAUGAAGAUGAGGAUGGUCAUACUGUAGUGGCUACAGCCCGCGGCAUUUUUAACAGCAAUGGCGGUGUGUUGAGUUCCAUAGAAACUGGUGUUAGUAUAAUUAUCCCACAAGGAGCCAUUCCUGAAGGAAUUGAGCAAGAAAUCUAUUUCAAAGUCUGCAGAGACAAUAGCAUCCUCCCACCUUUAGAUAAAGAGAAAGGUGAAACUCUGCUGAGCCCCCUAGUGAUGUGCGGGCCCCAUGGCCUCAAGUUCCUGAAGCCUGUGGAGCUACGCUUGCCACACUGUGCGUCCAUGACUCCUGACGGUUGGUCUUUUGCUCUAAAAUCAUCCGACUCCUCGUCGGGUGACCCUAAAACUUGGCAAAACAAGUGUCUUCCUGGAGAUCCGAAUUACCUUGUUGGAGCCAACUGUGUUUCUGUCCUGAUUGACCACUUUUAAUUCUUAGAGUCUAGCAGCUGGACUAAGCAGUGUGAACAUGGAUUGAACUUACUGAAUGGAACCACUCUAAUGAGUAUUCUAUUUUCUUAGAAUUUAUACUGCAGUUAGUAGUAUUAAACAUUUGUUGGAACUGAUAAAGGUUAGUGAGCAUGCCCCUGAACCACGAUCAGAAAACAUGCUACAAGCUGUGUGUUAUUGAGUGGAGAACUGUCAGGCAU